rnacentral:tRNA from 1 species
AGCACAGUAGCUUUACUACAGUAGCGUGCUGGGCCCAUAACCCAGAGGUCGUUGGGUCGAAACCAUCCUCUGCUA